rnacentral:rRNA from 1 species
UACGUAGGGUGCGAGCGUUGUCCGGAAUUAUUGGGCGUAAAGGGCUCGUAGGCGGUCUGUUGCGUCGGCUGUGAAAACCCGGGGCUCAACUCCGGGCCUGCAGCCGAUACGGGCAGACUAGAGUUCGGCAGGGGAGACUGGAAUUCCUGGUGUAGCGGUGAAAUGCGCAGAUAUCAGGAGGAACACCGGUGGCGAAGGCGGGUCUCUGGGCCGAUACUGACGCUGAGGAGCGAAAGCGUGGGGAGCGAACAGG